GAUGAACGCUGGCGGCGUGCCUAAUACAUGCAAGUCGAGCGAACGGACGAGAAGCUUGCUUCUCUGAUGUUAGCGGCGGACGGGUGAGUAACACGUGGAUAACCUACCUAUAAGACUGGGAUAACUUCGGGAAACCGGAGCUAAUACCGGAUAAUAUUUUGAACCGCAUGGUUCAAAAGUGAAAGACGGUCUUGCUGUCACUUAUAGAUGGAUCCGCGCUGCAUUAGCUAGUUGGUAAGGUAACGGCUUACCAAGGCAACGAUGCAUAGCCGACCUGAGAGGGUGAUCGGCCACACUGGAACUGAGACACGGUCCAGACUCCUACGGGAGGCAGCAGUAGGGAAUCUUCCGCAAUGGGCGAAAGCCUGACGGAGCAACGCCGCGUGAGUGAUGAAGGUCUUCGGAUCGUAAAACUCUGUUAUUAGGGAAGAACAUAUGUGUAAGUAGCUGUGCACAUCUUGACGGUACCUAAUCAGAAAGCCACGGCUAACUACGUG
rnacentral:rRNA from 1 species